CUCUCCCUCUCUUAUUUAUUUAGGAUCGGUUAGCGUGGCGCAUCAGUUUAUCCCGCCAUCUGCAGCUUUUGGCAAAAGGAGUUGAUUGGAGUUGGAAAGGGUGAGACGACUCGUCCCCUUUGACCUCGCCACUCCCCUUCCUCCUCCUUCCUCUCCGCUUGCUUUCUAGUUUGUCCCCUACUCAAUUUCAGCCUCCAUUUCCCUUUUCGUCCCUCCAAUUCAAGUUCAUUAUCUUCACCUUUUUCACGCUUUCAUGUUUUCUCUACCCUUUUAUCGCCAUUGCUUUCGCAACCAUGCUCUGUUUUCUUUGACUCAAAAUAACCUCUUCACACCAUUACUACAUAACCCUCAUCUGCUCCGUUUUCCUCAUAUCUAUUCAACAAAUUAUUACUACCUUCACAAACCCCUGUUUCAUUGUCCCUGAUGGAUCCAACCUGGACUUGGAAUCAAUGUAGCAGCUUUUCUUUUUCCUGAUUUUUUUUUUAUGGGGAGGUUAAGCUAUAUUAAUAAAUGGAGUCUCGUGAUCAGCAGUGUAGCAAAGGAGAUGGUCAUGUAGAACUAUAAUGCGUUCGUGACUUGAAGAUGUAAUCAGUUAAAAUUCAGGUUCCCAUGAUAUUGACAAAAGUAAGGUGUCUGAUAAACUAUUUUAUUUAUUUAUUUAAUUUCUUUUGCAAUAUUCUGCUGAGGUCACUUUUGAGUCUUUCAUAUAUAGCAGAUUGAGAAUAAUGGGGGUGAUUAUAUUUAGGACGUUACUUGUCUUCCAUCCAUCAGGCACGUGAGAAGGUGAAAAUGGCUUCAAUAAUUGAGUAACAAUGGUUGAAAUUUGAGAACGUAUGUUGGUCAUUACUUUGGUACGACUUGAUUUUAAUCUGGGAUGACUUCAAAUUUUUGUAAUCAUAUGAAGUGUGUGGGAACAUGUAAUGACUUCAGAGGUAAUCGGAGUCUUAAAAAUCCCAAUUAAGGCGCCUGGUUAGAUGGGGAACCUGCAUCUCGCUUCAAAGAAGUGAGGCUCCCUCAAUGAAGCAUGUUUCAGUGCUCCCUGAAUCUUAUUCUCUCUCCUCGGUUUCAAUUAACUCGUGCUUCUUGAAAAACCAAAAAGAAAAGCAAAUGAUAAGUGAAAUUUUUUAGUCCUGAAGGACCUUCACCUGCCAUUACUGGUCAAGCUGGGUGACGUGCAAAUUGGUUUGUUGGAGUAAAUGUGAAGUUCAGAUGAAUUCUCAGUGUCAUUAACAUGUGGGUUGAGAUAUUUGCUAUUUUCUUGAUUUCUUAGUUUAUUCUUACUUUUAAAUCUGACCUGCCAGCUUUUUCGAUCUGCGACUUUUCCAUCGUUUCCUUGAGGUACAUAGCUAGUCAAAGUGAUGAUGAACGGAGGUUCAAUUUUGGCAUAUAAACUUUUUGACUUCCAUUGUUCCACAUUCUUAUCUGGACCUGAAAUUGAAGUUUCGAGUCAUGGUUCUAGACUCAUGUAAACAGUUAACUAAUUCUCUUUUGUUUUAGUUUUCUGUAACUUGAUUUAUAGAACUUUAGUCCCAUAGUGUACAUACUACAGGAUUGGAAUUCUUCUUUUAGUCUUUUAGGUUGCCGCUUAUUUAUUGAAACUCUUGAGAUACUUUUUUAUUGGCUAGAUAUUUGUAGCUUCGUGCCACAAACAGAUGAUGGCUGUAUGGGUGGCCAUUUUUGUAGCAGUGAGGACAGAAUAGUAAGUGUGACUUUGAUUAAAAUUAUUUCAUGAGUAAAAAAACCGUCAUAUUGCAUAAUAUGAUUUCUAGUUUCUACAUAGCUUUGGCUAGAUUUAAUGGUAAGAGAAACAUCAAUCUUUUAGAAAUCAAGAAAAGACGGUACAACUAGUCGCUUUCACAUCAGUUCAUGUUUUUAUGAUGUGAUUAUUACAAUUUUCUUGUGUUUGCAAGGACACGGAGGGAUAUGGUUUUUAUUCAAUAAUAUGUUGACUUAUCUCUUCGAGGUAACUAUUUUUGCUAAUUCCGAGAAAUUGAGAAUAAUGAAUAUCAGAAGGUUUAGGUAUUGCAAUGCACUUUUUUUGUUCUGCCAUUAGUUUUCGUUAAAAUAUUUCGGACUUUCUAUGGUAUAAUCCAAAAUACUACUAUUAUAUGCAUCAUUUUUUAGUUCUUGCACAAAAAAUGUGGUGUACAAAAGAAAUCUCAAGAUGCUUUUGUGAAUUAUAGUUUUAGACUUCUUUAUAAGUUUCCACCUCGGAGCAGCUCAAUGGUUUCAAUUUCUCGUAGCUAAAUACCAGGUCUAUAAUUGUUAUAUUUGCCACUCCAUACUUGUUUUCUCUUUCUUUUGCUCUGUAUUGGCUAGUUUUUAAUUUAUUGUUUUUUUCCCGAUGUUCGCAGGUCAACAGAGUUGAUUUUUGUCGAUGCCACUGCUACGUUUAUUCAUAAUCCUUCUCGUUUAUGAGAAUGUUUCUGGUACAAGAGUAUAUAUAUGCUUGUAGUUACAGAGAGGCAAACUUAUGAGUUGAAUCAAUUAGGCCUAGAGACAGAGUAUACCUAACCUAUUGAUUUGGAUAAUGGCAUUAGCCGAACUAACCCCACUCAACCCAAUCAAUUGAGUUGGGGUUGAAUGAAGUCAAGCUAAAGACAAGAGUUGAUGAACCAACCUGACAUUGUUAGACUCUGGCCCAAAUCAUUUAAUGAGUUGUAUUCAUCGUGUACUUUUUGGGUCAUUAUGGCCAACAUUGAGGGUUGUUUGGCUUUUCAGAUGCUUAUUGAAAAAUCAUUCCAAACAGGUGUUAAGACACAUACACACUGGUAGUCUCUCCUUUCCACAUGUCAACUCAAGUGUUGUAGCAGCAUAGGAAAACCCCAUAACUUAAUUUUUGAUGCAUUUUAAUUAAUCUAAACUUCUGUGAGGGUAUUGCAGGUAUUGAAAAUACUGUGUUGUACUUGCACAGGGCUGAUGAUGUAUUGGUGCAAGAAAUACCAAUAUGAAUUUAACAGUGUUAUCAGCCCGCCAUCAGUUCAGGAAAUUGAAAUGGGGCCAGCAGAAGACUCGUCCCUUAUGUGGAAUUGAGAGAAACGUUACCCCUCCGGCUCAAUAAUUUAUUGGAACCGCAAACACCCAAAUAUUUCUACUGUGCAUCAAAUCAAAACAUCUUGUCUCAUUAUUUAUGAGAUUUGUAAUUUAAAUACUUCCGUCUUAAAAAUCUUAGUUUAAUACUUUUAGUUUUUUUUUAUAAUAUAUAUAUAAUAUUAAAUAGCUAAAAAAAAUUGCAAUUGUGAA